rnacentral:lncRNA from 1 species
AUGACAGGAGUGAGCCACCGCGCCCGGACUGUCUCUCUCUUUCUUUCUCUCUCUCUCUCUCUCUGUGCCUAUCUUCUGUCUUACUCUCUUUCUCUGCCUGUCUCUCUCUCUCUUUCUCUCUCUCUCUCUGCCUAUCUAGACUGUCUUACUCUCUCUGCCUGUCUGUCUCUCUCUCUGUCUGUCUCUCUCUCUCCCUGUCUGUUUCUCUACCUCUGUCUCUCUUGCUCUCUCUCUGUCUCUCUUGCUGUUUCUCUCUGUCUCUGUCUCUUUCUCUGUCUGUCUCUCUCUUUCUUUCUCUCUGUCUCUGUCUCUCUCUCCCUCUGCCUGUUUCUCUCACUGUGUCUGUCUUCUGUCUUACUCUCCUUCUCUACCUGUCUGUUUGUCUUUCUCUCCCCCUCUUUGUUUCUCUCUCCCUCUCUAUCUCUCACUCUCUUCGUCUCUCUCUCUGUUUCUCUCUGUCUGUCUCUUUCUCUGUCUCUCUGUCUGUCUGUCUCUCUCUCUGUCUCCCUCCCUCCCUGUCUGUUUCUCUCUCUUUCUCUAUCUCUGUCUCUCUCUCUUUCUGUUUAUCUCUGUCCAUCUCUUUCUCUGUCUCUCUCUUUCUCUGCCUGUCUCUCUCACUGUGUCUGUCUUCUGUCUUACUCUCUUUCUCUGCCUGUCUGUCUCUCUGUCUCUCUCUCUGCCUCCCUUUCUCUCUCUCUCUUUCUGUUUCUCUCUGUCUCUGUCUGUCUCUCUCUGUGUGUCUGUCUGUUUCUCUUUCUCUGUCUCUCUUUCUGUUUCUUUCUGUCUCUCUCUCUCUCUGUCUCUCUCCCUCCCUGUCUGUCUGUUUCUCUCUGUCUCUGUCUGUCUCUCUCUUUCUCUCUCUCUCUGUCUCUCUCUCUUUGUUUCUCUCUGUCUCUCUCUGUCCGUCUCUGUCUUUCUCUGUCUGUCUCUUUGUCUGUCUGUCUGUAUCUCUCUUUCUCUGUCUCGCUGUCUCUGUCUCUCUCUCUGCCUGUCUGUCUGUCUGUCUCUCUCUCUCUCUCUCUCUCUCUCUCACCCGCUCUCUGGCUCUCGCUAUCUCCCGCCCUCUCUUUCUUUGCAAAAUAAGUUCAAGUACAUCUAAUCCAAUCCAUUACCACGACCUGAAUUCUUAACUUUAGACAUCCCAGAUUUGAUCUCCCUGCAGAAUACUGUACAGAACUGGCGAGUUGAUUUCUGGACUUGGAUACCUCAUAGAUACUACAUAUUAAUAAAGAUCCAACCAUAAAAUCUGGGGUUGCGUCUCCCUCGACUGUCUCGAAAAAUCGUACCUCUGUUCCCCUAGGAUGCCGGAAGAGUUUUCUCCAUGUGCAUCUGCCCGUGUCCUAAGUGAUCUGUGACCGAGCCCUGUCCGUUCUGUCUCAAAUAUGUAUGUGCAAACACUUCUCUCCAUUUCCACAACUACCCACGGCCCCUUGUGGAACCACUGGCUCUUUGAAAAAAAUCCCAGAAGUGGUUUUGGCUUUUUGGCUAGGAGGCCUAAGCCUGCUGAGAACUUUCCUGCCCAGGAUCCUGUGUGAACAAAAGUGCCUCUGCUGGGAGCUGGGAUCGUCGGGACCAUGCUUGCUAGCGCUGGAUGAGUCUCUGGAAGGACGCAUGGGACUACUCAAAGCUGACCUGUCCCACCGAGGUCAAAUGGAUACCUCUGCAUUGGCCCGAGGCCUCCA